rnacentral:rRNA from 1 species
CACUUCGGUAGGUGUGCUCGGCGAACACCGCUCUCUGUCUCUCAGUUCUUACCAACAGGACACUUUGCUAUUGCUUCUGAGAGCGCAGGAGAGUGGAUGUGACUUGAGACUUGAGACUUGUUGUCCUCUACCGCUGCAGCAGGGGCGGCGGCGGGGCGCACACGCAGUGGCCGCCGUUGCCCAAGUAUCCGAGCACCGAGCAGUUCGACGAGGAGAGGGCGCCGAUGCGGCAGGUGCGGUGGCAGGCGCUGGGUGCACUAGGCUUCUUGCGCAAGGACCGCCUUGACCUGCCUCGGGGCCGCUUGGACGCCGACAAGUUCCGCCUGUACGAGCUGAUGCUCUGCCACCGCCGGCGCAAGCGGCCGACGCUCCCGCAGAAGGUACAACGGUGAGGUCACGGGCUAGUUUUCUACCAACUGGGUGUCUUUCUCUACUACCUUGGACGACAGUUCCCGUGGUACUUACACGAGUUCCGAACGAGUCGAUGCUUUCAAGUAUUUGAGUAGCACCAGAGCAGGUAGCGGUGAUUAACGAAGUUGGGCCUAACCGGAGCUCUAUUUUAGUUUCUACUCUCGACAACCAGUCUGUUCCUCAAGACGUCUGUCUGACUCUUGACCAUAAGAGAACGUUUCUGACUUCGGCUCCUCUACCGGGACCUUAUGCCUCUCUUCUUGCCCGACGUGCAGCAGUGUAAAACGGGACCAGACCAAAAGCCGGGAGACAACUUCGUACACCGCCAGUUAUGGUCGUCGUUCCAGGAGCAGAUGUACUAUUUUCCUCCGGGGCUGUGCUACUUGUUGUUCAAGAAAGGGUAUCAUCUGCAAGCACUAUAGCGGCUGCGUAACGAGGACAACAUGUUGUUCCGUCCCGUCAGACUCUCUAUGUAUACGAGUGACCUGGUUUACCUGGAUUUCCUAAACGAGCGUUAGGACUUCUCGUACAUGGGAUCGAUGUGAAUACAUCUGUUCUACCAACUACACCUAAAAUCGCAACCUCAGUGAAGCCUUUUCGACUUCUUAAAUCCCACCUUUGGUUCCUUCAACCUCCUCUGUGAGCGUCUAUCAUAGCUUAGGAUGCUUUUUCGUCCCGAAGAACCCCAAAGUCUACUGCUUGGUACGGCCGAAGGUAAGUAGAUAGCUUACGGCGGAUAGGUCCUUACUCUUACUAGGGUAAUAACACGGUAACUAAGACGUAAACCGGACUUUGUAGCACUUUACACAAAGCGUUUUUAUUCGUUCCCAAUCCAGAGAUAAAGAGCUGAGGAGGUGAUCAGGUAAGUCCUACCUACGGUUACGUUUAUAACACGUAAACACGAGUGAAAGCAGUUCUCUUUCGCUCUGAGCCCUCCUCAUGAGAGUUUCGUCACUGAGGUCUAAAUACUCGUAUGGCAGACCAGGUUCACGACUAUACUUUCAGAUCAUUACUCUUUAUCAUCUCUCUAUAACAAAGAAUUAAAACUAUACCGAGAAUACAGUUUGAGUUCUCUUCCAAUAAAAAAAGAGACAGCCUUUUGUUAGGUCGAAGAAAUGUUAUGAUUCUAUUUCUCUCAAUAUAUAGAAUAAUUUGUGUUAUUCAAAAUCUAAUAAUUGCUCGUAGAGAAGGGCAGCUCAUCUAACGUAUUUUGGUGGUGAAACUCCCGAUCCAAACGCUUUUUGUGAUCCUAUGUCUAAGAGACGUCUUUCGUGGUGCAGAACGCAUUAAGAAAACGUUUUUGGUGACUAGCCGCCUAGCCCGGCGAAAUUCACUCAAAUGCUGUCUACCCCGGGCAAAAAGCGGAUGCACCGUGAGGUCCGGCAGGGCUGUCGGCAAUCUGCCGCUCUGCCGUGGCAAGCCAGGAUCGUCAGUUUUCACACUUGGCAAUGAGGAAUAGGUCAGAAGAGCGAGCGAGUAGAGAGCGAGAGCGAGACAAGAACCAGCGGCGUAGGCAGCGGCGGCGCGGCGGCGUCACGGUACCACAGCACCUCACUACCCAGCCUAUCGUCGCUCGUGUGGCACCUCGUGUACUCGAGUCGAAAGCUGCUGCCGUGGUAAUUCCAAGGACGAUCGUGGCUUCUGAGUCUAAAGCUCCCGGGACUCUGUCUAUACAUACAAAACACGGUACCUGUGCCCUUCCGUCGUCUCUCCGCACAAAGAAAACUUCCCUAAGUGUGACCGUCCUCCAAGGAAACAACACGUCUCUUCCUUCCAUUUUUGAUACCUGAUCAUCUUACCUAACUAGGUAGAACCGGGUUAUGGGAACCCUUACGUGAUAGGUUCAAUACCAAAUACAUACUUGUCUCAUUCUCUCUGUACUUACUCCUGUCAGACUACGUAAGUAAACGAUAAGUACUGGACUGUGUUCUCUUUUUCUUUGAGGUCCGGUCGAUACUCUUCAACCAACUUCUACAGUUACGUGAAUACCUACGGGUCCUCGUCUCCCGUCACUAUCUUUCCUUUCUACUACUUUGGUGGUUCAACGUCCUCUUCAUACUGUGACAAUUCUUGGAUCGUCGACGAGUUCGAUCACAGUAAUCCUUGUACUUCAACUUCGAUCGACUUCUCUCCUUCUUAGACGUCUAGGUGUAACUGCUCGAGUUCUUCGGUCAACUUCUCUCGUUACACUUCGACCUCCCCUAGUUCCGGUAGUAUUUACCUAUUCGUCCACCAACACCUUCUCUUCUUACCCGUUAUAGUAAACCGUAAACGACUGGAAAACGUCCCACACCAAACCGUAAACGACAUUACUAUCAUUAAAUUUAAGAUAAUUGAUACUCAUGAGGACUUGAUACCUAUACAUUACAUGAUUAGAUCAUGAUACUAAUACAUACCUAAACUUGAUCAGGACUUACACCACCAUAAAUCUCAACCAAUUAGAAUAGAAUUCAUUCUACAAACGU